rnacentral:rRNA from 1 species
GACGAACGCUGGCGGCGUGCUUAACACAUGCAAGUCGAACGGAAAGGCCCUUCGGGGUACUCGAGUGGCGAACGGGUGAGUAACACGUGGGUGAUCUGCCCUGCACUUUGGGAUAAGCCUGGGAAACUGGGUCUAAUACCGAAUAGGACCACGGCCUUCAUGGGUUGUGGUGGAAAGCUUUUGCGGUGUGGGAUGGGCCCGCGGCCUAUCAGCUUGUUGGUGGGGUAAUGGCCUACCAAGGCGACGACGGGUAGCCGGCCUGAGAGGGUGACCGGCCACACUGGGACUGAGAUACGGCCCAGACUCCUACGGGAGGCAGCAGUGGGGAAUAUUGCACAAUGGGCGCAAGCCUGAUGCAGCGACGCCGCGUGAGGGAUGACGGCCUUCGGGUUGUAAACCUCUUUCACCAGGGACGAAGCGUAAGUGACGGUACCUGGAGAAGAAGCACCGGCCAACUACGUGCCAGCAGCCGCAGUAAAAC